UUGUCCAAAGAUGAAGGUUUAGGUGAAAUGCAACCAUCUAUGUUUUCUCAAUUAUUCUACAACUCUGCAUAGAUCGGUCAGGAGAUAUAUGCACUCUUUAAAGAACUUGUUCAUGAACUUCACUUUAUGACUCAGUCUUGCAAUAACAUUUACAUGAUUCAUGGUUAAGCAUUGCUCAAUAUGCAUACAUGAAGUUUCUUUGAACACAGCAACAAAGAAGGUAAAUCUCUUCGCAAUAAUACAUUCCUAAAUCAGAAGCAGAAUCAUGUUCUCUAAGGCUUGGCUUUAGUGGUCGAUUGCUUAGGUGUAAGCUCUUGAGACAACAUGAGAUCAUUAAUAGAGGUUGAUGCAGCAACCCUCUUGGCAGGAGUCGUGCUAGAGCUCGCAGAUGGGCUCCCAGAAUUGUUUGCAGCAACCGACAUGGGAGCAGAUUGUGUUGGUUCAGAAGAUUGUGUUCCCUAGUUAUGCAACAGGGAAAAUAUGAACAUGCUUGGAUAUUAGGAUAAAUCUUUACAAAAAAUUGUAAUAUGUAUUAUAAAUGAAAUGGCAUACAUUAGUUUGGGUUGGGUCCUCAGCAUGACCAGCAAUUUCAAUUUCCUUCCCAACAGCAUUUGAGGUUAGCUGAUGCAAUUUAAACAUAUAUUUUCUAUG